rnacentral:rRNA from 1 species
AGCGAACGCUGGCGGCAGGCUUAACACAUGCAAGUCGAGCGGGCAUCUUCGGAUGUCAGCGGCAGACGGGUGAGUAACACGUGGGAACGUACCCUUCGGUUCGGAACAACUCUGGGAAACUGGAGCUAAUACCGGCUACGCCCUUAUGGGGAAAGGUUUACUGCCGAAGGAUCGGCCGGCGUCUGAUUAGCUGGUUGGUGGGGUAACGGCCUACCAAGGCGACGAUCAGUACCUGGUCUGAGAGAAUGAUCAGCCACACUGGGAGUGAGACACGGCCCAGACUCCUCCGGGAGGGAGGAGAGGGGAAUAGUGGAAAGUGGCGGGAGGCCUGAUCCACCCAUGCCCGGUGAAUUAUGAAGGCAGGAGGGUUGAAAAGCGUUAUUUACCGGGACGGUAAUGACGGUACCGAAAGAAAAAGCCCCGGCUAACUUCGUG